CUCUUUUCUUUUUCCUUUUCUUCAACCUAAAAACAAAACAACCUUAAAGAAAAAACCUAAACUUGAACCUUCCGUUUUUUAACUCUCCUUCUUAUACAGUUCCUUCAACUUGGUGCUUUCGAUGAACGCCUCUUCUCUUCCAUCCAUUUCUUCUCCACGACUCUUCACUCUUUUCCGAUUUCAACUUUUUCACCGAACCUCUCCAUUUCUUCUCCACGGGCCUCUGUUUUAGUUUCGAUUUCAACUCCGGUGAACGCUUCUCCACUCCUUUCCGAUUUCAGCUUUGUUUUCACUGGACCUCCCAUUUCUUCUUCACUCCUCUCUGUUGGCAGUGUCGUAUCCAUCCUCUUUGAAGUCAAGUGAGUAAUAAAAUCUGAGUUUUUUUUUUUUAUAAAUCAUUUUGUUUAAGUUGUCUGUUGAGAUAUGAGUUUUUUGUUGGGCACAUUUUAGAUAUAUCAUUAAAUUUGUAGAGAAGAAAUACAUAUGUCGUACAGGCACACACACAUAGAGAGCUGUGGGAACAUGAAUUCUGUUUUUUUAGGAAGAAGAACCAUAUAAUUAAUAAACAUAUUGGACGACCAUUUCCUUUGCAAUGUACUGUAAUAAUAGAUAAUUGAGUUUAGAACAUAUAUAUACAUACCUUGGAGUUUAGAACAUGAAUUCCAGCAUAUUUGGUAUCCCAUCUAAACUCAGCAAAUAGAACAAUGUUGAAAGACAAUAUGAUCUUUAGAGUUAAUCACAUUAUUAUAAUCAAAAGCUGCAUUGUUGUUCUCUACUUUGUUAAUGUUUUUAGUGAUGUAGUUCCAAUAAAAUGCAAUAUUUGUUGCCUUGUAUAACCAAGCAGCUCCCCAUAUUAAUUCGUUCUAUGUCAAACCAAUUUAUUUAGGACUCAUUUGUUAGAGAGAAUUUGAAGACAAAUGAUUCAAUUAGUUUUGUUCCUAAACAUAUAUGUAGGCUUUCCUACUAUUAUUAAUCAUUUUAGUAAAUGUGUUACAAUAUAUGUUUAGGAGUGCAAGCAAUUUGGUUUAGUAAGCCUCUUAUGAACUUGUCAACCCCCUAUCACAUGUUUAUUUAGCAAACCUCGAUCUUGCUCUUAAACGAUCCUCUUAGAACGACUACGAGUGACAGAUCUCGUGUAGGUGUCGCUUGCAACAAAAGAUUUGGAUGUCACUUUCUUUGAUGUUAUUGGUUUGCUUGUAGAUCUAGAUGGCGAGAGAGAGAUGAGAGGUAGAGAUGGUCCCACUGGGCGUGCCAAUUUGUUCGCAUGAGAUUUUCGGAGAAAUUUGAUUCGUGGAGUUGAAGUUGAGUUGGUGUUGUAUUUUUGUUGAUUUGAUGCGAUGUGGUUCAUCUCUAUAAUUUGAUCCUUUGGUUCUCUCUUGGUUGGAUGUUUGCGUUUGAUUUGAGGAAACGAAGCAUGUGAUGUUCUUGAAGUUGAAGUCUUGGAAGAAAGCUUGUAUCUUCAAAGGAGCUUCAAUCUUCGAGAGUGGUCGACUUCCGGAGUUACAAACUCUUCUAGUUCUUGGAAGAAUUCUCUCUAGACCUUAUGGAAUAAAAAAUUUCCAUUCAUUUACAAAUGAAGAGAACUCCUCUAUUUAUAGAGUUCUCUGGUGGGAUAAGAGUUUGAGCCUAGUUGGUCCAUGGACCAGACUCAUGGUCUCAACCACAUGAAUUUGGAUUAUAUUUAACCUUUGGAUCCAAUUAAGCUUAUUUUUAUUUAACUUAGUUUCAAGUAAAUAAUAUUUAAUUAAACCAAAAUAAUUAACUUGAUCCAACGGUUAGGACAAUAACAUGUGGCAUUAUUGACCAAUUUGAAACACAUGUCAAUUUUAAC
rnacentral:lncRNA from 1 species